AUUGAACGCUGGCGGCAUGCCUUACACAUGCAAGUCGAACGGCAGCGGACCUUCGGGUGCCGGCGAGUGGCGAACGGGUGAGUAAUAUAUCGGAACGUACCUUUCAGUGGGGGAGUAACGUAGCGAAAGUUACGCUAAUACCGCAUAUUCUGUGAGCAGGAAAGCAGGGGAGUCGCAAGACCUUGCGCUGAUUGAGCGGCCGAUAUCAGAUUAGCUAGUUGGUGAGGUAAAGGACUCACCAAGGCGACGAUCUGUAGCGGGUCGUGAGAGGAUGAUCCGCCACACUGGAACUGAGACACGGUCCAGACUCCUACGGGAGGCAGCAGUGGGGGAAGUUUUU
rnacentral:rRNA from 1 species